rnacentral:rRNA from 1 species
GUGGGGAAUAUUGGACAAUGGGCGAAAGCCUGAUCCAGCCAUGCCGCGUGAACGAUGAAGGCCUUCGGGUUGUAAAGUUCUUUAGCCGAUGAUUAUAAUGACUGUAGUCGGAAAAUAAGCCCCGGCUAACUUCGUGCCAGCAGCCGCGGUAAUACGAAGGGGGCGAGCGUUAUUCGGAAUCACUGGGCGUAAAGCGUGCGUAGGCGGUUUUGUAAGUUAGGAGUGAAAGCCCAGGGCUCAACCUUGGAAUUGCUCUUAAAACUGCAAGGCUCGAAUCUCGGAGAGGAUAGCGGAAUUUCCAGUGUAGCAGUGAAAUGCGUAGAUAUUGGAAGGAACACCAGUGGAGUAAGCGGCUAUCUGGACGAGUAUUGACGCUGAGGCACGAAAGCGUGGGGAUCAAACAGGAUUAGAAACCCGUGUAGUCC